rnacentral:rRNA from 1 species
AUUGAACGCUGGCGGCAUGCUUUACACAUGCAAGUCGAACGGUAACAGGGAGCUUGCUCCGCUGACGAGUGGCGAACGGGUGAGUAAUGCGUCGGAACGUGCCGAGUAGUGGGGGAUAACGCAUCGAAAGGUGUGCUAAUACCGCAUACGAACUGAGGUUGAAAGUGGGGGACCUUCGGGCCUCACGCUAUUGGAGCGGCCGACGUCUGAUUAGCUAGUUGGUGAGGUAAAGGCUCACCAAGGCGACGAUCAGUGGCGGGUCUGAGAGGAUGAUCCGCCACACUGGGACUGAGACACGGCCCAGACUCCUACGGGAGGCAGCAGUGGGGAAUGUUGGACAAUGGGCGCAAGCCUGAUCCAGCCAUGCCGCGUGUCUGAAGAAGGCCUUCGGGUUGUAAAGGACUUUUGUCCGGGAGCAAAUGCUGGUGGCUAACAUCCACCGGAGCUGAGAGUACCGGAAGAAUAAGCACCGGCUAACUACGUGCCAGCAGCCGCCGUAAUAC